rnacentral:rRNA from 1 species
ACAGUGGACGCGAGCAUCUGUGGCCAAGUUUUUAAGGGCGCACGGUGGAUGCCUUGGCACCAGGAACCGAUGAAGGACGUGAGAGGCCGCGAUAGGCCCCGGGGAGCUGCCAACUGAGCUUUGAUCCGGGGGUGUCCGAAUGGGGAAACCCGGCAGUCGUCAUGGGCUGUCACCCACUGCUGAACACAUAGGCAGUGUGGAGGGAACGAGGGGAAGUGAAACAUCUCAGUACCCUCAGGAAGAGAAAACAACCGUGAUUCCGGGAGUAGUGGCGAGCGAAACCGGAUGAGGCCAAACCGUAUGCGUGUGAUACCCGGCAGGGGUUGCGCAUGCGGGGUUGUGGGAAUGAGCUUUCACAGUCUGCCGGCUGUGAGGCGAGUCAGAAACCGUAUGGAUAGGCGAAGGACAUGCGAAAGGUCCGGCGUAGAGGGUAAGACCCCCGUAGCUGAA